AUACGGAGGGGGCUAGCGUUGUUCGGAAUUACUGGGCGUCAAGGGCUCGUAGGCGGCCAGCCAAGUCGGACGUGAAAUCCCCAGGCUCAACCUGGGAACUGCGUCCGAUACUGGUUGGCUUGAAGUCGGGAGAGGGAUGCGGAAUUCCAGGUGUAGCGGUGAAAUGCGUAGAUAUCUGGAGGAACACCGGUGGCGAAGGCGGCAUCCUGGACCGAUCUUGACGCUGAGGAGCGAAAGCUAGGGGAGCAAACGGGAUUAGAAACCCCAGUAGUCC
rnacentral:rRNA from 1 species